UACAGGGGGUGCAAACGUUGCUCGGAAUUAUUGGGCGUAAAGCGCGCGUAGGCGGCCACUUAAGUCGGAUGUGAAAGCCCCUGGCUCCAACUGGGGAAGUGCACCGAAACUGAAUGGCUUGAGUGCGAAAGAGGGUCGCGGAAUUCCCGGUGUAGAGGUGAAAUUCGUAGAUAUCGGGAGGAACACCUGCGGCGAAGGCGGGUUGCUGGGCCGACACUGGACGCUGAUGCGCGAAAGCUAG
rnacentral:rRNA from 1 species